rnacentral:rRNA from 1 species
GGUUAAGCGACUAAGCGUACACGGUGGAUGCCCUGGCAGUCAGAGGCGAUGAAGGACGUGCUAAUCUGCGAUAAGCGUCGGUAAGGUGAUAUGAACCGUUAUAACCGGCGAUUUCCGAAUGGGGAAACCCAGUGUGUUUCGACACACUAUCAUUAACUGAAUCCAUAGGUUAAUGAGGCGAACCGGGGGAACUGAAACAUCUAAGUACCCCGAGGAAAAGAAAUCAACCGAGAUUCCCCCAGUAGCGGCGAGCGAACGGGGAGCAGCCCAGAGCCUGAAUCAGUGUGUGUGUUAGUGGAAGCGUCUGGAAAGGCGUGCGAUACAGGGUGACAGCCCCGUACACAAAAAUGCACAUGCUGUGAGCUCGAUGAGUAGGGCGGGACACGUGGUAUCCUGUCUGAAUAUGGGGGGACCAUCCUCCAAGGCUAAAUACUCCUGACUGACCGAUAGUGAACCAGUACCGUGAGGGAAAGGCGAAAAGAACCCCGGCGAGGGGAGUGAAAAAGAACCUGAAACCGUGUACGUACAAGCAGUGGGAGCACGCUUAGGCGUGUGACUGCGUACCUUUUGUAUAAUGGGUCAGCGACUUAUAUUCUGUAGCAAGGUUAACCGAAUAGGGGAGCCGAAGGGAAACCGAGUCUUAACUGGGCGUUAAGUUGCAGGGUAUAGACCCGAAACCCGGUGAUCUAGCCAUGGGCAGGUUGAAGGUUGGGUAACACUAACUGGAGGACCGAACCGACUAAUGUUGAAAAAUUAGCGGAUGACUUGUGGCUGGGGGUGAAAGGCCAAUCAAACCGGGAGAUAGCUGGUUCUCCCCGAAAGCUAUUUAGGUAGCGCCUCGUGAAUUCAUCUCCGGGGGUAGAGCACUGUUUCGGCAAGGGGGUCAUCCCGACUUACCAACCCGAUGCAAACUGCGAAUACCGGAGAAUGUUAUCACGGGAGACACACGGCGGGUGCUAACGUCCGUCGUGAAGAGGGAAACAACCCAGACCGCCAGCUAAGGUCCCAAAGUCAUGGUUAAGUGGGAAACGAUGUGGGAAGGCCCAGACAGCCAGGAUGUUGGCUUAGAAGCAGCCAUCAUUUAAAGAAAGCGUAAUAGCUCACUGGUCGAGUCGGCCUGCGCGGAAGAUGUAACGGGGCUAAACCAUGCACCGAAGCUGCGGCAGCGACGCUGAUGCGUUGUUGGGUAGGGGAGCGUUCUGUAAGCCUGCGAAGGUGUGCUGUGAGGCAUGCUGGAGGUAUCAGAAGUGCGAAUGCUGACAUAAGUAACGAUAAAGCGGGUGAAAAGCCCGCUCGCCGGAAGACCAAGGGUUCCUGUCCAACGUUAAUCGGGGCAGGGUGAGUCGACCCCUAAGGCGAGGCCGAAAGGCGUAGUCGAUGGGAAACAGGUUAAUAUUCCUGUGCUUGGUGUUACUGCGAAGGGGGGACGGAGAAGGCUAUGUUGGCCGGGCGACGGUUGUCCCGGUUUAAGCGUGUAGGCUGGUUUUCCAGGCAAAUCCGGAAAAUCAAGGCUGAGGCGUGAUGACGAGGCACUACGGUGCUGAAGCAACAAAUGCCCUGCUUCCAGGAAAAGCCUCUAAGCAUCAGGUAACAUCAAAUCGUACCCCAAACCGACACAGGUGGUCAGGUAGAGAAUACCAAGGCGCUUGAGAGAACUCGGGUGAAGGAACUAGGCAAAAUGGUGCCGUAACUUCGGGAGAAGGCACGCUGAUAUGUAGGUGAAGUCCCUCGCGGAUGGAGCUGAAAUCAGUCGAAGAUACCAGCUGGCUGCAACUGUUUAUUAAAAACACAGCACUGUGCAAACACGAAAGUGGACGUAUACGGUGUGACGCCUGCCCGGUGCCGGAAGGUUAAUUGAUGGGGUCAGCGCAAGCGAAGCUCUUGAUCGAAGCCCCGGUAAACGGCGGCCGUAACUAUAACGGUCCUAAGGUAGCGAAAUUCCUUGUCGGGUAAGUUCCGACCUGCACGAAUGGCGUAAUGAUGGCCAGGCUGUCUCCACCCGAGACUCAGUGAAAUUGAACUCGCUGUGAAGAUGCAGUGUACCCGCGGCAAGACGGAAAGACCCCGUGAACCUUUACUAUAGCUUGACACUGAACAUUGAGCCUUGAUGUGUAGGAUAGG